AGACGUAGGGUGCAAGCGUUGUCCGGAUUUACUGGGCGUAAAGGACGCGUAGGCGGUUCGUUAAGUGUGAAGUGAAAUCUCCAGGGCUCAACCCGGAAACUGCUUCGCAUACUGGCGGACUGGAGGGAUGCAGAGGUAAGUAGAAUUCCUGGUGUAGCGGUGAAAUGCGUUGAUAUCAGGAGGAAUACCGAUGGCGAAGGCAGCUUACUGGGCAUCAUCUGACGCUGAGGCGUGAAAGCGUGGGUAGC
rnacentral:rRNA from 1 species